AAGACGCGUGGCGGCAGGCUUAACACAUGCAAGUCGAACGCCCCGCAAGGGGAGUGGCAGACGGGUGAGUAACGCGUGGGAAUCUACCGUACCCUACGGAAUAACGCAUGGAAACGUGUGCUAAUACCGUAUACGCCCUACGGGGGAAAGAUUUAUCGGGGUAUGAUGAGCCCGCGUUGGAUUAGCUAGUUGGUGGGGUAAAGGCCUACCAAGGCGACGAUCCAUAGCUGGUCUGAGAGAAUGAUCAGCCACAUUGGGACUGAGACACGGCCCAAACUCCUACGGGAGGCAGCAGUGGGGAAUAUUGGACAAUGGGCGCAAGCCUGAUCCAGCCAUGCCGCGUGAGUGAUGAAGGUCUUAGGAUUGUAAAGCUCUUUCACCGGAGAAGAUAAUGACGGUAUCCGGAGAAGAAGCCCCGGCUAACUUCGUG
rnacentral:rRNA from 1 species